rnacentral:rRNA from 1 species
AUUGAACGCUGGCGGCAGGCUUAACACAUGCAAGUCGAACGGAGGGGCGGACGGGUGAGUAAUGCUUGGGAAUCUGCCUGGUAGUGGGGGAUAACGUCAGGAAACUGGCGCUAAUACCGCAUACUAUCAGAUGAGCCUAGGUCGGCUUAUCUAGUUGGUGGGGUAAAGGCCUACCAAGGCGAAGAUCCGUAACUGGUCUGAGAGGAUGAUCAGUCACACUGGAACUGAGACACGGUCCAGACUCCUACGGGAGGCAGCAGUGGGGAAUAUUGGACAAGGGGCGAAAGCCUGAUCCAGCCAUGCCGCGUGUGUGAAGAAGGUCUUCGGAUUGUAAAGCACUUUAAGUUGGGAGGCGUUACCAACAGAAUAAGCACCGGCUAACUUCGUGCCAGCAGCCGCGGUAAUAC